rnacentral:lncRNA from 13 species
AUGAGGCGGAUGCCUCCGGGCUCUGCAGCCCAAGGUGUGGUGGAAAGAGCCGGAUGGCUCUGCCAGCCGCCCCUGCUGCUCCCCGGCCAGCGCGGACGGACCCGCCCCGCGGCCCCGGCCCGGCCUGUCCUCACUUGCCGGCUGCUCUCGCUUCCCAUUCCCUGCGCGCAGCCCCGCGGGUCCUCAGCCAACCUCACAUUUCCUCAUUGCGAGGAAAUGGCGAAUUCCCCCCAGGCUGGUUUCAAUGGCUCACGGAUCCCUCGCCUUUGGCCUCUCCCCAGUUUCUCCUGCGCUGGCUGUAGUGCAGCCCUCGGGAGCAGCGCUUUUUCCCAGGCACGCAGCCUCUGGAAUUCUCUGUCUGGGAGCACAUCCCUCCCCUCACAGGGGAUACCCUCAUGCUGGAUUCACCCCUCUGCGCUCACACAACGCCGAGCCCUUUUUCUGUUGGGUGCAGCGGAUUUGGGGGUUCUGACGUCCUUCGCUCCUCUCUGUCAGGGAAUCGCUCACGUCUCCAGAGUGUUGUGUCAUGGCACAGCUCUGGGAGCUGUGAUUCCAGUGGCCAGUUCCUCUUCUGUUUCUUGGUUUCACACUAAAAAAAACCUUCGUGGUCCCUCUCUGCGAACCCCUCAUGGGGUCACUCCAGGGCUCCUGCCUCGGGCCACCACACCGAGGUUGCUGCUGGUCCCAUCAAAUCAUUCUUGGGUUUGCAGCCGCCCUGUGCCUGAUGCCUGGCUGGAAUCCCAUCCUUCCCACCGGUGCUGCUCCCUCGGGACCACUUUCACUCUGGACCUACUCUGCAGUUUUCCUGCUAAUCAGCUGUCUCCUUAUCUCCAGGUCACACUGCUCCAGCUGCCACCGCUAUUGUUCCCCAGCUGGAUAAUAACAGGAAAGGCUUGGAAAACCAGACCUGUGUCUGACUCAGAUGACCCAGAGGUUCCCAGCUCCCCCGGUGCACUCAGCAGCUCCUCAGAGUCACCCACCCACCCCUGGGAGCAGCGGGAAGUUGCGGGAUGCUCUUUGGGAAAGCCUCCCCCCCACAGCACCCUGAAUGCUCCUGCAGGUGCAUCCCUGGGCCUCCAGCCAUCUCCCAGGGCUGUUCCCUUCAGGAACCAACCCCGGCCACCCAGAACCCAUUUCCCAAGAUCAGCAAGAUGUUUGGAGCUCGGCUCCGAAGGGCUUUUCCUCCCCAUCCCAAGCUUUUCAUCCUGCUGCCGCACAGGGUGA